rnacentral:rRNA from 1 species
UACGUAGGAUCCAAGCGUUGUCCGGAUUUACUGGGUGUAAAGGGUGCGCAGGCGGACUGGUUAGUCAGGGGUGAAAUCCCGUUGCUCAACAACGGACCUGCCUUUGAUACUGCCAGUCUUGAAUUAGGGAGAGGUUCGUGGAAUUCCGAGUGUAGCAGUGAAAUGUGUAGAUAUCACUUGGAACGCCAAUGGUGAAAACAGAUAGCUGGGGUUGUGCUGACGCUGAGACACGAAAGCCAGGGGAGCAAACGGG